rnacentral:rRNA from 1 species
AUACGGAGGGUGCAAGCGUUAUUCGGAAUCACUGGGCGUAAAGGACGCGUAGGCGGGUUGGCAAGUCAGAUGUGAAAUCCUACAGCUUAACUGUAGAACUGCAUUUGAAACUGCUAACCUAGAGUAUGGGAGGGGGAGAUGGGAUUAGUGGUGUAGGGGUAAAAUCCGUAGAUAUCACUAGGAAUACCGAAAGCGAAGGCGAUCUCCUGGAACAUAACUGACGCUAAGGCGUGAAAGCGUGGGGAGCAAACAGGAUUAGAUACCCUUGUAGUCC